ACGGCGAGCGAAGCGGGAAAAGCUCAAAUUUGUAAUCUGGCGUCUUCGACGUCCGAGUUGUAAUCUCGAGAAGUGUUUUCCGUGAUAGACCGCAUACAAGUCUCUUGGAACAGAGCGUCAUAGUGGUGAGAACCCAGUACACGAUGCGGAUGCCUAUUACUUUGUGAUACACUUUCGAAGAGUCGAGUUGUUUGGGAAUGCAGCUCAAAUUGGGUGGUAAAUUCCAUCUAAAGCUAAAUAUUGGCGAGAGACCGAUAGCGAACAAGUACCGUGAGGGAAAGAUGAAAAGCACUUUGGAAAGAGAGUUAACAGUACGUGAAAUUGUUGGAAGGGAAACACAUGCAGUGAUACUUGCUAUUCGGGGCAACUCGAUUGGCAGGCCCGCAUCAGUUUUUCGGGGCGGAAAAUCGUAGAGAGAAGGUAGCAGUUUCGGCUGUGUUAUAGCUCUUUACUGGAUUCGCCCUGGGGGACUGAGGAACGCAGCGUGCUUUUAGCAUGAGCUUCGGCUUAUCCACGCUUAGGAUGCGGGUUUAU
rnacentral:rRNA from 1 species